rnacentral:rRNA from 1 species
UACGUAGGUGACCAGCGUUGUCCGGAUUUACUGGGCGUAAAGAGCGCGCAGGCGGUCGUUCAAGUCGAGUGUGAAAGCCCCCGGCUCAACUGGGGAGGGUCAUUCGAUACUGAUCGACUCGAAGGCAGGAGAGGGAAGCGGAAUUCCCGGUGUAGUGGUGAAAUGCGUAGAUAUCGGGAGGAACACCAGUGGCGAAGGCGGGAUCCUGGGCCAGUACUGACGCUGAGGAGCGAAAGCGUGGGGAGCAAACAGG